AGUGUUAACUUUGUUGUCACUAACAAGAUUCUCGGGCCUCUUCAGAGUGCGUCGCUCGGGAGAAGUGCUGGAGGAAGGGAGGCGCAUGCAAGGCAGCAUGCGCAUUGCACGAGAAGGAGAUUGCCAAGGGAUGCAGAGGCGGUAAACACUGCCACUGCUGCGUUCCUCCAGAGCCAGUGUCGUGUAGGUGUUCACUGUUUGCAAGCUUGUCAUGCACGGUUGGCUUACCGUAAUAUACAAGCUCUCUGAGUCUUGCUCUGGAAAAGACAGGGACGGAUAUAAACAUCUUGAUGUUAAUAUUUAUCUUCCACAGUGUGUGACGACCUCCCAGCAUGUUACCACGGGAGGGGACAGUGCCGGGAAUGGUGCCUGCACGGGGAGACUGAAGCUGAUACCGGAUGUGGACCAGAUUGCAAAUGCUGCUUGUCCUUAUCUGAAGUGUGCCAAGAACAGCCACUUUGUCACCAUGGACAAGGCCAGUGCCGCGAGUUCUGCUUGGUCGGCGAAACUGAGAAGGCUGGGGGCUGCGGGUUGAGUUGCAAGUGUUGCGUGGCAGUGCCCAAUGAAUGCCUGGACGUGGAGAAGUGCGUACGCGCGGGAGGACUGGUGAAGAGCUACUGUUCCAGAGGGGAGAAAGAGAUCGCCGGGGGCUGCUCGGCUGACUUCUGUUGCUGCGCCCCGAUUGAUGGUGAGUCUUGCAUUUUCAUUUUUCCCCCUGCCUGUAGAAUAUCAAAAUUUCUUAUAUAUGCCAAGUAAAAAUACAUCUUGGGGCGAAAA